CUGUGUUUUCCUGCUGUCAGUACUGUGAAGUCUCCCCAUUGAGACAUGUUUGCCUUCCUGGGAACUGAUGCUCCGUGCUGGAAAUUAGGGGACUUCUGAGGUCACUUGGGCAGAUCUUUAAUAUCUUUGUUAUGCUCCCACUCUUUGGACACACAGACUGAGAAAAUGCCAAGCUAUUGCGUGUUUGCAACAAGAAUGGCACAAGACUUUGGAGUAUAUGGAUACAGGGCAGAACAAAUCAAAACCAAAAGAGCAUUCAGCUCUGACAGGAGGAGAUAAGAGACUCUGUCCACAGAGCUGGAGGAGGAACCUGGCACUGUAUCCUCUUUCUUCAUUGUUUCCCUCUUCUUUCAGCAGUUUUGGUUGCCUGUUACUCUUCCGCCCUCUCCUUCUCUCUGCAAAGAAGACUGCAGACAUUUUUGCUGGAUAAUCUGUCGUAAUUAGAAUGAUCUCCGCCGGCUGGCUUUUAUCAUCUUGUCAGAGGAAAUUACCCGGGCAGACUUCUCUUUCCCUCCCGCAGACAGUGGAGGGUGCUGUUGGAUUUGAUGUUGCAAAAAGGUGAAGCGGGAUCGUAUCCGUGUGCUACGCUGUUCUCAUAGAGAAUUGCCCAAAGUUCAUUUCCUCGCUUCCUAGAUGAACUUUGCAGAUACUGGCUUUCAGGUUGUGCUUUACUGGGAUGACUGGGAGUGCCAGUAGAGGGACAGGAUCCAUGCAUAGCUCAGGACAGUGAGGCUUCAGCUCAGUUAUUUCUCCAGGUGGGUGAAUGAGGAAGUAAACAUAGUAAUACAGGUUUGGAUUUUGACUGUCUGGCUGUGUGUCCCAUAAUAGCUUUAUUGCCUCUUGUCCAGAGAUGAUAUUUUUAAUUAAAAUUAAAAUUCUUGAGGAGAGGAGGGGGAGGAGAGGAGGAAUCAGGGGAAUCUGGUUCUCUGCCAGAGGAGGUCUGAGUCUGUCCACGCAGCACUCACUGCUUUUCCAAAGUAUGUUCUGAAUUAGGCAGAGUGCAGUACAUCUUCUUCAACGUGCUUGGCAAGAAGGCUUGAAGCCAUGAUAAAUGCAUGGAUGAGAAACCUUGCUCCCAAACUUGGAGAUUGUAUUAGGACACCCAAAGUCAGGACCAUUGCUCUUCAGCUGAGUUUGCAUUAGCCAAACGUGAUCUAAGAGCAGGAGCUCAGCAAGCCAGUCAGCCUGUCUGCUCUUGGUCCUUGAACAGGAUAUAGGAUGUGGUUAUUGAAUUUCAGAUGCUGUAUUUCAUUGUCGUCAGGAUACUGUGACUUUAUUAGUGAAUAUAUCACCAAUAAUAUGGCAUGUGGUCAAAGGAUGUGUCGUUCCCAAGCCCAAGCAAAUAGUAGAGAAUUAACAAAUGCAUUUCAAAGAAGCCCUUUGUGAAUUGCAAGUAUGUCUUGCUGCUACUGCCAUUUAGGCAUUUAUUUUCCCUCUAUACUACUUCUCCUGUAAAAAUUUCAAGUAGAAAUUCUACUCGAGCUUCCCAGCUAAAAUAAAACUAUCUGUUUUAUGGAUGAGUAACUGGAG
rnacentral:lncRNA from 1 species